UACGUAGGGGGCGAGCGUUAAUCGGAAUUACUGGGCGUAAAGCGUGCGCAGGCGGUUAUGUAAGACAGAGGUGAAAUCCCCGGGCUCAACCUGGGAACUGCCUUUGUGACUGCAUGACUAAAGUACGGCAGAGGGGGAUGGAAUUCCGCGUGUAGCAGUGAAAAGCGUAGAUAUGCGGAGGAACACCGAUGGCGAAGGCAAUCCCCUGGGCCGGUACUGACGCUCAUGCACGAAAGCGUGGGGAGCAAACAGG
rnacentral:rRNA from 1 species